rnacentral:tRNA from 1 species
GCCGGGGUGGCGGAACUGGUAGACGCGGCGGACUCAAAAUCCGCUGGUGGUAACACCUUGGGGGUUCGAGCCCCCCCUCCGGUACCA